UAAUGAGGCGAACCGGGGGAACUGAAACAUCUAAGUACCCCGAGGAAAAGAAAUCAACCGAGAUUCCCCCAGUAGCGGCGAGCGAACGGGGAGCAGCCCAGAGCCUGAAUCAGUGUGUGUGUUAGUGGAAGCGUCUGGAAAGGCGUGCGAUACAGGGUGACAGCCCCGUACACAAAAAUGCACAUACUGUGAGCUCGAUGAGUAGGGCGGGACACGUGGUAUCCUGUCUGAAUAUGGGGGGACCAUCCUCCAAGGCUAAAUACUCCUGACUGACCGAUAGUGAACCAGUACCGUGAGGGAAAGGCGAAAAGAACCCCGGCGAGGGGAGUGAAAAAGAACCUGAAACCGUGUACGUACAAGCAGUGGGAGCACGCUUAGGCGUGUGACUGCGUACCUUUUGUAUAAUGGGUCAGCGACUUAUAUUCUGUAGCAAGGUUAACCGAAUAGGGGAGCCGAAGGGAAACCGAGUCUUAACUGGGCGUUAAGUUGCAGGGUAUAGACCCGAAACCCGGUGAUCUAGCCAUGGGCAGGUUGAAGGUUGGGUAACACUAACUGGAGGACCGAACCGACUAAUGUUGAAAAAUUAGCGGAUGACUUGUGGCUGGGGGUGAAAGGCCAAUCAAACCGGGAGAUAGCUGGUUCUCCCCGAAAGCUAUUUAGGUAGCGCCUCGUGAAUUCAUCUCCGGGGGUAGAGCACUGUUUCGGCAAGGGGGUCAUCCCGACUUACCAACCCGAUGCAAACUGCGAAUACCGGAGAAUGUUAUCACGGGAGACACACGGCGGGUGCUAACGUCCGUCGUGAAGAGGGAAACAACCCAGACCGCCAGCUAAGGUCCCAAAGUCAUGGUUAAGUGGGAAACGAUGUGGGAAGGCCCAGACAGCCAGGAUGUUGGCUUAGAAGCAGCCAUCAUUUAAAGAAAGCGUAAUAGCUCACUGGUCGAGUCGGCCUGCGCGGAAGAUGUAACGGGGCUAAACCAUGCACCGAAGCUGCGGCAGCGACGCUUAUGCGUUGUUGGGUAGGGGAGCGUUCUGUAAGCCUGUGAAGGUGUGCUGUGAGGUAUGCUGGAGGUAUCAGAAGUGCGAAUGCUGACAUAAGUAACGAUAAAGCGGGUGAAAAGCCCGCUCGCCGGAAGACCAAGGGUUCCUGUCCAACGUUAAUCGGGGCAGGGUGAGUCGACCCCUAAGGCGAGGCCGAAAGGCGUAGUCGAUGGGAAACAGGUUAAUAUUCCUGUACUUGGUGUUACUGCGAAGGGGGGACGGAGAAGGCUAUGUUGGCCGGGCGACGGUUGUCCCGGUUUAAGCGUGUAGGCUGGUUUUCCAGGCAAAUCCGGAAAAUCAAGGCCGAGGCGUGAUGACGAGGCACUACGGUGCUGAAGCAACAAAUGCCCUGCUUCCAGGAAAAGCCUCUAAGCAUCAGGUAACAUCAAAUCGUACCCCAAACCGACACAGGUGGUCAGGUAGAGAAUACCAAGGCGCUUGAGAGAACUCGGGUGAAGGAACUAGGCAAAAUGGUGCCGUAACUUCGGGAGAAGGCACGCUGAUACGUAGGUGAAGCGACUUGCUCGUGGAGCUGAAAUCAGUCGAAGAUACCAGCUGGCUGCAACUGUUUAUUAAAAACACAGCACUGUGCAAACACGAAAGUGGACGUAUACGGUGUGACGCCUGCCCGGUGCCGGAAGGUUAAUUGAUGGGGUUAGCGCAAGCGAAGCUCUUGAUCGAAGCCCCGGUAAACGGCGGCCGUAACUAUAACGGUCCUAAGGUAGCGAAAUUCCUUGUCGGGUAAGUUCCGACCUGCACGAAUGGCGUAAUGAUGGCCAGGCUGUCUCCACCCGAGACUCAGUGAAAUUGAACUCGCUGUGAAGAUGCAGUGUACCCGCGGCAAGACGGAAAGACCCCGUGAACCUUUACUAUAGCUUGACACUGAACAUUGAGCCUUGAUGUGUAGGAUAGGUGGGAGGCUUUGAAGUGUGGACGCCAGUCUGCAUGGAGCCGACCUUGAAAUACCACCCUUUAAUGUUUGAUGUUCUAACGUGGACCCGUGAUCCGGGUUGCGGACAGUGUCUGGUGGGUAGUUUGACUGGGGCGGUCUCCUCCUAAAGAGUAACGGAGGAGCACGAAGGUUGGCUAAUCCUGGUCGGACAUCAGGAGGUUAGUGCAAUGGCAUAAGCCAGCUUGACUGCGAGCGUGACGGCGCGAGCAGGUGCGAAAGCAGGUCAUAGUGAUCCGGUGGUUCUGAAUGGAAGGGCCAUCGCUCAACGGAUAAAAGGUACUCCGGGGAUAACAGGCUGAUACCGCCCAAGAGUUCAUAUCGACGGCGGUGUUUGGCACCUCGAUGUCGGCUCAUCACAUCCUGGGGCUGAAGUAGGUCCCAAGGGUAUGGCUGUUCGCCAUUUAAAGUGGUACGCGAGCUGGGUUUAGAACGUCGUGAGACAGUUCGGUCCCUAUCUGCCGUGGGCGCUGGAGAACUGAGGGGGGCUGCUCCUAGUACGAGAGGACCGGAGUGGACGCAUCACUGGUGUUCGGGUUGUCAUGCCAAUGGCACUGCCCGGUAGCUAAAUGCGGAAGAGAUAAGUGCUGAAAGCAUCUAAGCACGAAACUUGCCCCGAGAUGAGUUCUCCCUGACCCUUUAAGGGUCCUGAAGGAACGUUGAAGACGACGACGUUGAUAGGCCGGGUGUGUAAGCGCAGCGAUGCGUUGAGCUAACCGGUACUAAUGAACCGUGAGGCUUAACCUUACAACGCCGAAG
rnacentral:rRNA from 1 species